rnacentral:rRNA from 1 species
GACGAACGCUGGCGGCGUGCUUAACACAUGCAAGUCGAACGAGAAUCUACUGAAAGAGUUUUCGGACAAUGGAUGUAGAGGAAAGUGGCGGACGGGUGAGUAACGCGUGAGGAACCUGCCUUGAAGAGGGGGACAACAGUUGGAAACGACUGCUAAUACCGCAUGACGCAUAGGGGUCGCAUGAUCUUUAUGCCAAAGAUUUAUCGCUUCAAGAUGGCCUCGCGUCUGAUUAGCUGGUUGGCGGGGUAACGGCCCACCAAGGCCACGAUCAGUAGCCGGACUGAGAGGUUGAACGGCCACAUUGGGACUGAGAUACGGCCCAGACUCCUACGGGAGGCAGCAGUGGGGAAUAUUGGGCAAUGGGCGCAAGCCUGACCCAGCAACGCCGCGUGAAGGAAGAAGGCUUUCGGGUUGUAAACUUCUUUUAAGAGGGAAGAGCAGAGGACGGUACCUCUAGAAUAAGCCACGGCUAACUACGUGCCAGCAGCCGCCGUAA